UUUCCGUAGGUGAACCUGCGGAAGGAUCAUUAUUGUAUAACCGAGGUGCGAGGGCUGUCGCUGACCCGAAAGGUCGUGCACGCCCGAGUGCCCUCACACACAUCCAUCUCACCCCUAUGUGCACCACCGCGUGGGUCCCCCUUUGGCUUGUUCGGAGGGGGGCUUACGUUUUCACACAAACUUUGUAUGCAGUGUAGAAUGUAUUUUUUGUUUUUGCGAUCACGCAAUCAAUACAACUUUCAACAACGGAUCUCUUGGCUCUCGCAUCGAUGAUGAACGCAGC
rnacentral:misc_RNA from 1 species